rnacentral:rRNA from 1 species
UACGGAGGGUGCAAGCGUUAUCCGGAUUCACUGGGUUUAAGGGGUGCGUAGGUGGGUUGGUAAGUCAGUGGUGAAAUCUCCGAGCUUAACUUGGAAACUGCCAUUGAUACUAUCAGUCUUGAAUAUUGUGGAGGUCAGCGGAAUAUGUCAUGUAGCGGUGAAAUGCUUAGAUAUGACAUAGAACACCAAUUGCGAAGGCAGCUGGCUACACAUAUAUUGACACUGAGGCACGAAAGCAUGGGGAUCAAACAGG